UCACUUUGGAUAACGAACACUCUAGACAUCUUACAUGAGCAGUUCUAUUAGCCUAACAUGAGGAAGGAUAUAAAAUGCAUUUAUAAUAAAUGCAUUGCAUGUAGACAUGCCAAGUUUAGGGUAUUACCUCAUGAGCAAGCCCAAGUUGCUACAUGCAUGCACAAAGCUGCAUAGGAAGGAAAUGUCUGCGUACACGAAAGCAACAUGCAAGAACACUUACCCGUGCACGGAGGUGACACGCAUUGGAAUAACAUAUGCUUGCAGAGGAGGAUUCCUACAUCCACAGGAAACCACAAGCAUGUAAGAAUGAACAAUCCUUAUCCUUCUUGGAUUCCUACAAGCAUGGAGAUCUGUCACUACCACCCCUCUUAUAGGGCAUGUCCAAAGGACACUAACGCUUUACACUUAAUUAAAUGAGAUAUAAUUAAACUUUCAUUAAUAUAA
rnacentral:lncRNA from 1 species